rnacentral:tRNA from 1 species
UCCCAAGUGGCUCAAGUGGUAAAGAAUCUGCCUGCCAAUGCAGGAGACACAGGUUUGAUUCCUGUGUAGGGAA